rnacentral:rRNA from 1 species
GAUGAACGCUGGCGGCGUGCCUAAUACAUGCAAGUCGAGCGAACGGACGAGAAGCUUGCUUCUCUGAUGUUAGCGGCGGACGGGUGAGUAACACGUGGAUAACCUACCUAUAAGACUGGGAUAACUUCGGGAAACCGUAGCUAAUACCGGAUAAUAUUUUGAACCGCAUGGUUCAAAAGUGAAAGACGGUCUUGCUGUCACCUAUAGAUGGAUCCGCGCUGCAUUAGCUAGUUGGUAAGGUAACGGCUUACCAAGGCAACGAUGCAUAGCCGACCUGAGAGGGCGAUCGGCCACACUGGAACUGAGACACGGUCCAGACUCCUACGGGAGGCAGCAGUAGGGAAUCUUCCGCAAUGGGCGAAAGCCUGACGGAGCAACGCCGCGUGAGUGAUGAAGGUCUUCGGAUCGUAAAACUCUGUUAUUAGGGAAGAACAUAUGUGUAAGUAACUGUGCACAUCUUGACGGUACCUAAUCAGAAAGCCACGGCUAACUACGUG